rnacentral:lncRNA from 1 species
GUUACUUAAGAACUCUUUGUGUCCGUCCUUCUAAUGGCACCAAUGCCUCCCAUCAAGCCUUAAACCUCACCUAAAUUAUGUCAUUGGGCUUUUUCAUCCAUAAAUGAGCAUACCAGGUGCCAAGGGAAUCAAUAUGCCAUUUCACAUGCCUUAGACCAGUGUCCAAAGAAAGAUAAAAUGUUAUUCUAUAAAAGCUUUCUCCCAGCAUUUCUAUUCCUUUACAUUUUGUGCCAUAUACAACUAUGGUUUUUUAAUGAUCUUAUUUCUGACAGCUGUUUUUCUUCAGAACAUCAACAGCUUCUUUCCUAAAUUAGUUUUAGUAUGAGUUCCAUUUCUAAUUAGCUCAAAUUAAAGUCCUAGAGAGCAGCGAGGUAAUAUUUAAACCCUCAGGCUAAAAUUUCGGAGUAGGUGCAGAAUGUUGACUCUAAAUGAGUUUUUCCUGUGACAUAACACGCAUGAAAGCAGGAUUUCUUUCAUGUGUGAAAUGUCUUAAAUCAGACUUACCCUUUGUGAUUCUCUUUUAGCUUUAAAUGUCAUUUAAGAAGAAAAAAGAAAAGAAAAUUAAGCAUGACAUUCCCCAAUAUCCUCUGCUCACUGUGUUAUAAUCCCUAUCACUCCACAAGUGAAUUGGAGAGAGUGAAGACACAAUGAACAGAAACUUCCCUGAUGCUUCACAGAGGAAGUGUUCUCCGGGACCACACAGCCUCCACCAUGUCCAUCUACGAAGGGCUGUGGCAAGCCAUAUACACAAAGAUGCCUGUUUCCUGUCUUCUCGGUUAAAAACAAAAACAAAACACCGGAAAAAGCCAAGCUGCCAUGGGUUGCAGAGUGCCAGCCCUUAAGUAGUGUUGUUCAUGGGUAAACAGGAGACGGAUAAGGGCAAUUUCAAGAAAUAACAAACUCAAGGCAUGAAUGUGGUUAUCCAAACAUCAAGGGACUCCUUCAUUUGCAUUUGGAUAAUUGUGCAGUUAUAUGAUUUGUUACAUGGAGACCAGAUGGAAGUAAGAGAGCUCAUCCUCAACUUCCUGUACCUCUGGAAGUCUUUACACACAUGCUGGAGAGAUAGAGGAGAGUUCAUUAGCAUCAAACCACCAUGGAUUUCAUAAUCAAUUCCUAAUAUCUGAAUAGAUGCAGAAAAGUCACAGGCAUCUAGAAGUGUGGCCCAAGUUCUGUUCUUCAAUCAGCCCACCCAUUAUCCCUAUGUAUCUCGAUUUUGUUAUCUAAAAGAUCACAUGAUGGAGGAUGUAAGCAAGUAACACAGCCAAGACCCAGUUUACAGUGUCUAGUACCUAACAGACUCUUGACACGUUUCACUUGCCCUUGAGUCAGUCUUUCCAUGUCACUGAAUAUUCUUCCACAACACGAUUUUAAUGGAUAUAGUCGUCCAUUGUUUAAAUGUACCAUUAUUGACCAAUGUAAAAAUGUUCUUUUACCUCAAAUUUUUAUAUGUAAAACAAAAACAUGUUUGAGGACUAAACCCACAGUGUAGUAUAAAUUAAACUGGAUGUAGGCCAGGCAUGGUGAGUCACACCUAUAGUCCCAGCACUUUGGGAAACCAAGACAGGAGGAUGGCUUGAAGCCAGGAGCUCAAGAGCAGCCUGGGCAAUACAGCAAGACCUCAUCUCUAC